UUGCUCUGAAUAAACGAAUACGUUUCGUUGUAGUAAUUCUUUAAAUUAUUAACGAGAACGUUUUUCCUUGUUAAAAUUGUAUUAAAUGCGGACGUAGAAAAGUGAUUUCGAGGUAAUACCAUAAGAAUAAUACCAACUGAUAUUAUUGACGAAGAAAGAGAGAGACAUCUUCGAUUACUAUGGGACUAGGUGAGACUCCGUUAGACGUUUGAAAUAUGGUCAAUCGGGGAAAAAGAGAUAUAAAGAAGAAGAAAAAAGAGAAGAGAGAGAGAGAGAGAGAGAGAGAGAGAGAGAGAAAGAAUCAGAUGGAGGACCAGGUAACAAAACGUUCUCGAUUUAGCGUGUUAAUCUAAUAAAAGGAAACGACAGGAUGAUUAUUUGUAAGACGAUUAACAAUGCAGAGAUAGAUAGAGAGAGAGAGAGAGAGAAGGAGAGAAAGAGAAAAAGAGAAAGCAAAAAGAGAAAGGUAUUCAAGGGAAAUAAACUUUGUGUUUAGUCGAGCUGUCCGCCAUGAAAGAGAAACGUUUGUAAUUUGAGAGAUGCUAGGAAAACCCUCAGGAGUUAACAAUAAUCCGUUGAACUUGGCUGACAUAACACGUCCGACGUUACACAUAUAUAUAUAUAUUGUCUUCGGUUAUGUUUUAACAUUCCCAUAAAAUUAUAUGCAGGUAUGUAACUUACAUAUACGUAUUAAACAUGAAGAUAAGAUAUCUCGAAU